GGGUCAAACGACCCUCCCCACCCUCUUCCCUAAGGGGAAUACCAGCAGUGAACAGGCACAGCUGUGAAGAUCAUUGGCGAGCAGACGCCGCCGGCCUGAGGGAGAUGGCGGCUGCUUGGCUUGGAGGGUAGUGCAUCAAGGCCUCCUCUGCCACACAGUCACCUCAUACGAUGUCGCUGCAGGUUCCAAAGCAUCAGCGCCCACCAAGGGAACCCUCUGAGAGAAUAGCCUUGGGACUUCUCACACACCUGCUUCGGUGCUACAAGAAAACAGCGUCUCUUUGUCUAGCUAGGUGAUGUCAGCGGACCUUGGACCCACUUCCUCAUAGCACACUGUUUCUCCCUCCCCGCUCUCUCACAAGGCACCUUCAAAAAAAAAAAAAAAAGUAACUCUGCUGUCCAUGGGCAGGGAAGCUUUUAUUUUGGACCCAGCUGGUACUGCCUGCCGUUGUAAUAAACCCUGCCAACACCGCUCUGUCAUGAGAUCUAGGUAAAGACACAGCCACGAAACAAACCAACAGAGAAACAGCUACAGGCCAGUGUCCCUCCUGAGCACAAAUGCACAGAUUCUCAACAAAAUACUUGCUAACUGAACACGGGCGCACCUUGAAAUGAUCACUCACAAUGACUAAGCUGGGUUAUUCCCAGAGAUGCAGGGAUAGUUCAGCAUAUGAGAACCAAUAGAUGGAAUGUAAUUUAUGUAAGCGGACGUUAAGAAAAAAAUAUCACACGAUCUUCUCAAUAGACUUUUACUUUCGUGAUUAAAAAGUCCUGGAGACAGCGGGUUGGAGGCACCAUACAGGAACACAACAAAAGUCACAUAAGACAGUCCCACGGCUGGCAUCAUGCUAAACAGAGGAAAACUCAAAGCGAUUGUAUUAAAGCCAGGAGCAAAAUAGGGAUGCCCACCUUCUCCAUUCUAAUCCAACAAAGCGCUCAGGGUCUUGGGGCAGUAAGACAAGAGAGGGAAAUAAAAGGGACACAGAUGGGAAAAGCCCUGUUUGUAGAUGUGAUACCUUAAGUGAGACUCCUACAGAAAACCCGCUAGAAACUGACCAGCACUUUCAGCCAAGUUGCAGGAUCAGUAGCCUUGCUCCACACUGACGACGGACACCGAGGAAGAAACCAGGAAAGACGGCUCUGUUUGCAAUAGACCCCGGAAAGGGGUAAAGCCCCUGGAGUGAACUGAUCCAAGAAACCAGGAAAGACGGCUCUGUUUGCAAUAGACCCCGGAAAGGGGUAAAGCCCCUGGAGUGAACUGAUCCAAGGAGGCAAAGGGUCCCUAAACCCCAAACUUGAAAACUCUGAGGAAAGAAAUUGAAGAAGACACUAGAUGAUGGAAAGACUUGCCUUGCCCAUGGGUUGGUAGAAUAUUACUGUAAAAAUAACCAUCCUACAGAGAGCAAUGCAGAACAACGUGAACCCUCUUAGCCCCCAUGCUUCCCAAAGCAGAAGCCGUGCAGUCUGUGUGUCUGGCCCCGGGGUGGUAGGGAACAGCAGUAACAUCCACCUGGGAUACGGCACUGCCACUGCCCUCAAACGAACCUGCAUGUCACCCGAGCUCUGGCCUACACUAGCCUACAUAACCUUUGACAUCUUGUAAGACAAAUUAUUUUCCUUUCUGUACCUGGCACAGACACUUUGCCCGCUGCUGGAAAGAUUAAUAGCCCAGUCUACACGAAUACCGGAGAGAUUCUGCUCCCAAGAGACCCGGAUACUCCCUCUCCUGAGAAGGAAUCCAUGGCCCAUAUUAGCAUCCGUGAGGCCUGGCCCAAGGCAACCAUACCCAGUACCUGCGGAGACUAUGGAGGUUGCCCAAGACCGUGCCACACAAUGUCAUUGUCCUCCCAGGGAAACGACACACCCAUUUUUUUAUCUUAUCACCCUGGCCUAAUCACCACGGAGCCUCUCUGUAUUUUAUCGCUUCUGAGUUUGUUUUCUCAUCCCUGACCCAAGGUCCAAUGCAGUCAGCUGAUGGUGUCAUUAGAACCUCAAUGUCAUCAAAUACCUGGCCCGGCUGGUUUGGGCUGGGUCGUCAGAAGCUGUGUCAGUGAUUAGCUGUGGAGGAGACUCAGCAGCCGGCUUGGCUUCCGGGCCACCAGAUGGGGUCAGGAUUUCCCUGGGCUCACACCUUCUGUGUGGCACCAGCUCUCUGUACCUAUAUGGGCCUUGCAGUCCCUCCAGUCCCCAGGCAGCAUUCAGAGAGGCUGGGCCUUCUGGGUCCCAUGUAUCUGCGGUGUGCGGCUCAGUGCUCGAAAGCUCUUGUCAGCCAAGAGGCAGCAACCUCAGGACCGCUCCCCGGAAGCAGCAAGAGGAGUCUUGGGAUUUCGAUGUCGAAUGAAAUAAAUCGCAGGCCAGAG